AGAGUUUGAUCAUGGCUCAGGAUGAACGCUAGCGACAGGCCUAACACAUGCAAGUCGAGGGGUAACAGGAGCAGCUUGCUGCUUGCUGACGACCGGCGCACGGGUGCGUAACGCGUAUGCAACCUACCUCAUACAUUGGGAUAGCCCGGAGAAAUCCGGAUUAACACCAAAUAACAUUAUAGUAUCGCAUGAUACAGUAAUUUAAACUCCGGUGGUAUGAGAUGGGCAUGCGUGACAUUAGAUAGUUGGUAGGGUAACGGCCUACCAAGUCUACGAUGUCUAGGGGUUCUGAGAGGAAGGUCCCCCACACUGGUACUGAGACACGGACCAGACUCCUACGGGAGGCAGCAGUGAGGAAUAUUGGGCAAUGGACGCAAGUCUGACCCAGCCAUGUCGCGUGCAGGAAGACGGUUCUACGAAUUGUAAACUGCUUUUGUAUGGGGAGAAACGGGGGGACGUGUCCCCUUUUGACUGUACCAUACGAAUAAGCAUCGGCUAACUCCGUGCCAGCAGCCGCGGUAAUACGGAGGAUGCGAGCGUUAUCCGGAUUCAUUGGGUUUAAAGGGUGCGUAGGCGGAAUUGUAAGUCAGGGGUGAAAGUUUGCGGCUCAACCGUAAAAUUGCCUUUGAUACUGCAGUUCUUGAGUGAACGCGAGGUAUGCGGAAUGAGUAGUGUAGCGGUGAAAUGCAUAGAUAUUACUCAGAACACCGAUUGCGAAGGCAGCAUACCAGAGUUCAACUGACGCUGAUGCACGAAAGCGUGGGUAGCGAACAGGAUUAGAUA
rnacentral:rRNA from 1 species